rnacentral:rRNA from 1 species
ACGAACGCUGGCGGCGUGCCUAAUACAUGCAAGUAGAACGCUGAAGGCGGAGCUUGCUUCUCCGGAUGAGUUGCGAACGGGUGAGUAACGCGUAGGUAACCUGCCUGGUAGCGGGGGAUAACUAUUGGAAACGAUAGCUAAUACCGCAUAACAGUAGAUGUUGCAUGACAUUUGCUUAAAAGGUGCAAUUGCAUCACUACCAGAUGGACCUGCGUUGUAUUAGCUAGUUGGUGAGGUAACGGCUCACCAAGGCAACGAUACAUAGCCGACCUGAGAGGGUGAUCGGCCACACUGGGACUGAGACACGGCCCAGACUCCUACGGGAGGCAGCAGUAGGGAAUCUUCGGCAAUGGACGGAAGUCUGACCGAGCAACGCCGCGUGAGUGAAGAAGGUUUUCGGAUCGUAAAGCUCUGUUGUAAGAGAAGAACGAGUGUGAGAGUGGAAAGUUCACACUGUGACGGUAUCUUACCAGAAAGGGACGGCUAACUACGUG